AUUGAACGCUGGCGGCAGGCUUAACACAUGCAAGUCGAGCGGGGUGAUGGUGCUUGCACUAUCACUUAGCGGCGGACGGGUGAGUAAUGCUUAGGAAUCUGCCUAUUAGUGGGGGACAACAUCUCGAAAGGGAUGCUAAUAUCGCAUACGUCCUACGGGAGAAAGCAGGGGAUCACUUGUGACCUUGCGCUAAUAGAUGAGCCUAAGUCGGAUUAGCUAGUUGGUGGGGUAAAGGCCUACCAAGGCGACGAUCUGUAGCGGGUCUGAGAGGAUGAUCCGCCACACUGGGACUGAGACACGGCCCAGACUCCUACGGGAGGAAGCAGUGGGGAAUAUUGGACAAUGGGGGGAACCCUGAUCCAGCCAUGCCGCGUGUGUGAAGAAGGCCUUAUGGUUGUAAAGCACUUUAAGCGAGGAGGAGGCUCUUUUGGUUAAUACCCAAGAUGAGUGGACGUUACUCGCAGAAUAAGCACCGGCUAACUCUGUGCCAGCAGCCGCCGUAA
rnacentral:rRNA from 1 species